GGGCCACCAUCCUUGCCCAUCUGGUCCCUCCUGGCCCAUCUCUCUCUCCUUCCGGCCCACCCAUGCCCUUCUCCCUCCUUCCCGUGGCCGGCGGCGCCGCCCCACCUCACCGAGCUCCGCCCGCCACGAGACCAUCCGUCGCCGCCGUCCGCGCCACGAGACCGCCGGACCGGACUGCAUUCCUCGCCGGCCUCUUCCUUCGCACUUCUUCCCUCCCCGAAUCCGGUAGGCGGACGCCCCUGCCUUGAUCCAAAUCCAAUAUGCUCUCUCGGCUGCUCGUGAUGGGAGUGAAUAGGUAUUGUCGUUUGGGUAAUUGAGGACGAAUGGUUGCUGCCACUAUCUUCCUUAUGGCCUUCGACUUGCAUGUUCAAUUCCAGAUGAGCUCGAAAUCGGGCUGCCUAGAGCAAUGGGAUGAUCCAAUUCCAAAGGGAUAGUCGAUGGUCAGAUUACUGCAGCUUCUUUGGCAACCUGCAAGCGUGGCAGCAGAUGGAAGGCUUGUAGUUCUGUUUGAAGCUUGUAUCACAGGGGUCAUAGUAAACACAAUUAGUAGCAGAGGAAGUAAUCCAUCGAAGAGGCUCAUCUCCACACACCUGAAGUUUUCACUCUUCAGUGCUACGAAAUUUAAUGUGAUGCUUGAUUUGUGGGACUGUUUGGCGAUAAGAGUAAUAUCGAUGAGCAUGAAGGUUUUGCUUUGGUGACCAAGACAAUGGCCAUGCUUUAUACUCUUAUCACUCGAAAAAUCCCAGGAGUUGUUGUCAUGAUUAACAGCACUGGUCCAGGACUGCUAGUGCAAUUGUGCAAAUUGCACAUGCCAACAAAUACAUGUCACUUGGAUGGUUUAAGGCCUUGGAUUUCCUUUUAGAUGGUCCAAUCCAAUGUACUCAGUUUUGGACUUAAGAAAGCUUAUCUUUCCAGGCUACGUAUUUUUCAAAAUAUGGAGCGUACAUGUGUCAUAAUUUGGAUGAAUAGAAUGUCCUAUGAGAACGAUACUUCAGAUGCAUAGUCUGAUGUUUGGGUAAAGUCAGGGCAUAUGAAGAUCCUUUGACUUAUGAAGGUAACUUUUAAACUUGUAUUUCCUUAAUCUUUGAAACUGUGUACGUUGUUAUGAUGAAAAAUAAGGACAUGACUCUGGUGUAUGCACAAGUUACUGUAUUAUUUAAAGUUUAUUUUCUUGUACAUGUACCACAGAAAAUGUGAAUUUGGUAGCCAGAUGUGUAUAAAACCCUGUUCAGGCGAGUAGAAGGCUUAUGGAGCUAUAAUAAUAGCAGUGGACAGGUAAUGUUUAUUGCAGUGUACCGAAGAGAUACUACCAUUUUCAUUUGUUAUUGCAUCCUGUUUAUUU